rnacentral:lncRNA from 1 species
UCUUGUACGCUAGAUUCACUGAUGUCAUGUCUCUCGGUUGGCUUCCAAUUUUGGAACGUAGGAAUUAUCAUCUUGCCAAAUUAGCAUACAAAGCAAUGAAUUGUGAUGACUGGCCUUCAUACUUAAAAUUAGAAGAAUAUAUUCCUAUAAGACCAUUACGAUCAUCAUCUGCCCGGCGUCUAGUAGUCCCUAUUAUCUCUGGAACCUUCCAAGAUGAAGCAGCUCGAGUGUUCAAUUCUUUACCUGAAGAUAUUCGAAACUGCGAUACAUUUAAAGAUUAUUGCAAAAACUCCUCCGAGUACUUCAAAACAUUAGUCAGAAACAGAAUUAGUGACACGUCGUAAACUCUGUUGACAUUGUGUGUAU